AUGUGCUUAAUGAGUCUACUGUUAUCCUGUAAGGAAAAGAAAAAAAUGAUUUUGAUAGAUGAUGGCCUCGGUCAUAUCAUCAAAUCAAAUACAGAAAAUUCAGGAACAGACUGCAUGGUGUCUUCCAGUUUAGUUAUUCACAAAACUGAUUCUUCCAAAGUAAACGGAACAAGUGUGACUAAAAAUGUAAACUCAAACCAGAAGGUCACAACACAAACUGUGAUGCAUAAAGGACAGAAGGCUGUUUCACAGACUCCAUGGUUAGUUUACAACGACCAGAUGUUCAAACACUCAGCGUACAGGAAUUCCACAAGACGUACAUACAGAGAAAAUUUUCAGCAAUCGAGUGUCAUAUCAAGUUCUAGAAGCAAUUAUUCUUACAACAUCAAUGCAUCUUACUUGAGUGAAAACCUUGCCUUUCUCAUCCACCAGGUGAUUUUACAUUUACAUUUACAUUUAGUCAUUUAGCAGAUGCUUUUAUUCAAAGAAACUUACAAAUGAGGACAAUAGAAGCCAUCAAAACCAACAAAAAAGCAAUAAUAUGUAAGUGCUGUGAUAAGUCUCGGUUAACUUAACGCAGUACAUGUAGCAAGGUUUUUUUUUUUAUAUAAUAAAUAGAAAGAAAACAAGUUGAUAGAAUAGACA
ensembl:lncRNA